rnacentral:sRNA from 1 species
UUUCGUCUGCAGUUUAUGAGGAUGAGCACCUCCGCAGGAGGUUCGAGCCUCGCGAAGCGAGACAACGUUGCUUUAGCAACGGCCCGCAGGGCGCGCAUCGAAGAUGCGCAUAAUCCUCUCAUGCCGACCA